rnacentral:ncRNA from 22 species
GUUUCUUUUGUUAUAGUCAGUCGCUAUAAAAAUAAAUCGGAAUCGUGGAAGACGGUGUAAAUCCGUCACGGACCCGCCACUGUAAUCGUUAGUCAUACCGACUAACGUAAGUCAGAUACAUGGCCGAUUAAUUUGUUCGCUCG